ensembl:snRNA RNU7-161P RNA, U7 small nuclear 161 pseudogene
UAGUGUUACAGUUGUUUUAGAACUUGUCUAUCAGGCUUCCCAAUUUUUGCUGGAAAGCCCCU